AGGCAGUGAUGAUUGAGAAUUGUCAUGCACCACUCUGAUUUUGUGCUGAUAACCAUCUCUAACCCAUAUUUUUAUCUGAGCCU